AUUGAACGCUGGCGGCAUGCUUUACACAUGCAAGUCGAACGGUAACAGGCCGCAAGGUGCUGACGAGUGGCGAACGGGUGAGUAAUGCAUCGGAACGUGCCCAGUCGUGGGGGAUAACGCAGCGAAAGCUAUGCUAAUACCGCAUACGAUCUAUGGAUGAAAGCGGGGGGCCGUAAGGCCUCGCGCGAUUGGAGCGGCCGAUGUCAGAUUAGGUAGUUGGUGGGGUAAAGGCUCACCAAGCCGACGAUCUGUAGCUGGUCUGAGAGGACGACCAGCCACACUGGGACUGAGACACGGCCCAGACUCCUACGGGAGGCAGCAGUGGGGAAUUUUGGACAAUGGGCGCAAGCCUGAUCCAGCAAUGCCGCGUGCAGGAAGAAGGCCUUCGGGUUGUAAACUGCUUUUGUACGGAACGAAAAGGCUCUGGUUAAUACCUGGGGCUCAUGACGGUACCGUAAGAAUAAGCACCGGCUAACUACGUGCCAGCCGCCGCCGUAA
rnacentral:rRNA from 1 species